UUUGCUUUUCAUGCUACACAUCACCAACCAACUAAAAACACUAGAAUAACAUGUUUUCCAACUAAAUUCAUCAUCAAAUCUUCUCCCCCUAGGUUCGGCCAACAAGGGAUCCAUCAUGAAAUCAUGAAUUUCAACCAUGGAAAAUGAGAAAGAAUGCUUAGGAAAGAUAGAUCUCAAGCUAAAAUUGAAAAAUCUUACCUUUUGUCACUUGAUUCCUUGAAAUUCCAAAAUUUUCUCUUGAAUUUUCUAACUAGGGUUUUGUUCUUUCUUUCUUUCCUCUUUUCCUUGGUGAGGCCGAACAUAUGG
rnacentral:lncRNA from 1 species